AGCAGUAGCCGCGGUAAUACGUAGGGUGCAAGCGUUGUCCGGAAUUAUUGGGCGUAAAGAGCGUGUAGGCGGCUCGACAAGUCCGCUGUGAAAGUCCAGGGCUCAACCCUGGAAUGCCGGUGGAUACUGUCGAGCUAGAGUCCGGAAGGGGCGAGUGGAACUCCUGGUGUAGCGGUGAAAUGCGCAGAUAUCAGGAAGAACACCAAUGGCGAAGGCAGCUCGCUGGGACGUGACUGACGCUGAGACGCGAAAGCGUGGGGAGCGAACAGGAUUAGAUACCCCCGUAGUCCCUGUCUCUUAUAC
rnacentral:rRNA from 1 species